UACGUAGGUGGCAAGCGUUGUCCGGAUUUACUGGGCGUAAAGAGCGCGCAGGCGGUCGUUCAAGUCGCGUGUGAAAGCCCCCGGCUCAACUGGGGAGGGUCACGCGAUACUGAUCGACUCGAAGGCAGGAGAGGGUAGUGGAAUUCUAGGUGUAGCGGUGAAAUGCGUAGAUAUCUGGAGGAACACCGGUGGCGAAGGCGACAUCCUGGACCAACACUGACGCUGAGUGAGCGAAAGCCAGGGGAGCAAACGGG
rnacentral:rRNA from 1 species